rnacentral:rRNA from 1 species
CGUAGGGACCGAGCGUUGUCCGGAUUUAUUGGGUUUAAAGGGUGCGUAGGCGGCUUUUUAAGUCAGGGGUGAAAGACGGUGGCUCAACCAUCGCAGUGCCUUUGAUACUGAAGAGCUUGAUUAAACUUGAGGUAGGCGGAAUGUGACAAGUAGCGGUGAAAUGCAUAGAUAUGUCACAGAACACCGAUUGCGAAGGCAGCUUACUAAGGUUUGAAUGACGCUGAGGCACGAAAGCGUGGGGAUCAAACAGGAUUAGAUACCCUGGUAGUCCACGCCCUAAACGAUGAAUACUCGAUGUUAGCGAUAUACCGUUAGCGUCAAAGCGAAAGCGUUAAGUAUUCCACCUGGGGAGUACGCCCGCAAGGGUG